rnacentral:rRNA from 1 species
AUGAGUAGCCGCCGUGUUGGACUCCUCUUCAUCUCCCUUCUGGCCAUCGCCCUCUCGUGCAGCGCGGAUCCGCCGCCGGUGCACGACACGGACGGCAACGAACUGCGCGCCGACGCGAACUACUACGUCCUCCCGGCCAACCGCGCCCAUGGCGGGGGGCUCACGAUGGCGCCCGGCCACGGGCGCCGCUGCCCGCUCUUCGUCUCGCAGGAGGCCGACGGGCAGCGCGACGGCUUGCCCGUGCGCAUCGCCCCGCACGGCGGCGGCGCGCCGUCCGACAAGAUAAUUCGGCUGUCGACCGACGUCCGCAUCUCCUUCCGCGCCUACACGACGUGCGUGCAGUCCACCGAGUGGCACAUCGACAGCGAGCUGGUGUCCGGCCGCCGGCACGUGAUCACCGGCCCGGUCAGGGACCCGAGCCCGAGCGGCAGGGAGAACGCCUUCCGCAUCGAGAAGUACAGCGGCG